rnacentral:rRNA from 1 species
GCUUGCAAUCCUGAGUAGAGUGGCGCACGGGUGAGUAACACGUAGAUAAUCUGCCUUCAAGCCCGGGAUAACUAUUCGAAAGGGUAGCUAAUACCGGAUAAAGUCGAUCCACAUAAGUGGAUUGAUGAAAGAUUGCCUCUUCUUGAAAGCAAUUGUUUGGGGAUGAGUCUGCGUACCAUUAGCUUGUUGGUGGGGUAAAGGCCUACCAAGGCUGCGAUGGUUAGCUGGUCUGAGAGGAUGAUCAGUCACACUGGAACUGGAACACGGUCCAGACUCCUACGGGAGGCAGCAGUGAGGAAUUUUGCGCAAUGGGGGCAACCCUGACGCAGCAACGCCGCGUGAGUGAAGAAGGCCUUUGGGUCGUAAAGCUCUGUCAACAGGGAAGAAAUUAUAAUUGUUUAAUAGAUGAUUGUAUUGACGGUACCUGUGGAGGAAGCGCCGGCUAACUCCGUGCCAGCAGCCGCGGUAACACGGGGGGCGCAAGCGUUAUUCGGAAUUAUUGGGCGUAAAGGGCGCGCAGGCGGUCUUGUCCGUCAGGUGUGAAAGCUCGGGGCUCAACCCCGGAAGUGCACUUGAAACAGCAAGACUUGAAUACGGGAGAGGAAAGCGGAAUUCCUGGUGUAGAGGUGAAAUUCGUAGAUAUCAGGAGGAACACCGAUGGCGAAGGCAGCUUUCUGGACCGAUAUUGACGCUGAGGCGCGAAGGCGUGGGUAGCGAACGGGAUAAAUACCCCGGUAGUCCCGCAGUAAACGUUGUACACUCGGUGUGGCGGGUAUUAAA